rnacentral:rRNA from 1 species
GACGAACGCUGGCGGCGUGCUUAACACAUGCAAGUCGUACGGUAAGGCCCUUUCGGGGGUACACGAGUGGCGAACGGGUGAGUAACACGUGAGUAACCUGCCCACAACUUUGGGAUAACGCUAGGAAACUGGUGCUAAUACUGGAUAUGUGCUCCUGCUGCAUGGUGGGGGUUGGAAAGCUCCGGCGGUUGUGGAUGGACUCGCGGCCUAUCAGCUUGUUGGUGGGGUAGUGGCCUACCAAGGCGGCGACGGGUAGCCGGCCUGAGAGGGUGACCGGCCACCAUGGGACUGAGAUACGGCCCAGACUCCUACGGGGGGCAGCAGUGGGGAAUAUUGCACAGUGGGCGCAAGCCUGAUGCAGCAACGCCGCGUGCGGGAUGACGGCCUUCGGGUUGUAAACCGCUUUCAGCAGGGACGAAGCUUUUUGUGACGGUACCUGCAGAAGAAGCACCGGCUAACUACGUG